AUUAAAUUAAUUGCUAGUUUAAAGUAGAAGAAAUAACUUAAAAUAUAAAGUAUUUAUUAAAGAAAUUUAACAAUAGCUAUAGAGAAUAGUACUGUAAAGGAAAUAUUAGAUUGUAAAAAUGUUUAUAGUAAAUGUAAGAACAUGUACCUUGUGUAUUAGGGAAAAUCAAUUUAAUUUAAUAAAGGUUAGUGAUCUCGAAAUAAAAAAGGCUAAGAUUUUAUGAGGGUUUUUGUAGCAAAAAAAUUUACAAUAAAAUUUUAAAGAUGAAACGUCAAGUGAAUUUUAUAAUAUCUAGUUCUUUAACAAAUAAAUUCAAUUUAACUUUUAUUUGUUUUAAUGAUAAAAGUAAAAGAUAGGAGGGGCAAGCUUCUUAUUAAAAUAAUAAUAGUUUAGUAAAAUUAAUUUUUUCUCUAGGCUUAAAAGUAGCCAUGAAUAAAAAGUGUUUUAACUUAAGAAAACAUUAUAUAAGUUUUUAUAAAACUUUAAAAAUUAUUAAAGAAUAAACUUAAAUAAAUUAUGUAAAGGUAAAAUGAUUUUAUUAGUAAAGAAGUAUGUUGACAUAUAAAAUAGAAUUAAAAUAAAUUUAUAAAGUAAUUAGAGUUAUAAUAAAUGAACUCGGCAAAUAUUUCUCUGCCUGUUUAUCAAAAACAUGUCUAUAUGAAUAUUUAUAUAGUCUAACCUGCUCAUUGACUAAAAAGUUUAAAAGCCGCGGUAUUUUGACCGUGCAAAGGUAGCAUAAUCAUUAGUUCUUUAAUUGGGAACUUGUAUGAAAGGUUGAACAAGAGAAAGACUGUAUCUAUUGUAAAUCUUAAAUUUAACUUUUAAGUGAAAAGGCUUAAAUAACUUAGAGGGACGAUAAGACCCUAUAAAGCUUUAUAAGUAAGUAGAAAUUUAUUAAUUAAUAACUGAAAACUAUAUUUCUAUUAUCUUAUUGUGUUGGGGCGACAUAAAUAUAAAUUAUUUAACUGUUUGAGAAUAAGACAUAAAUUUAUGAAUUGAAAUUAAUUGAUCCUUUUUAAAGAUUCAAGUUUAAGUUACUUUAGGGAUAACAGCGUUAUUUCUUUUGAGAGUUCUUAUCGAGAAAGAAGUUUGCGACCUCGAUGUUGAAUUAAACUAUCUUGAUGGUGUAGCAGCUAAGAGAGAAAGUCUGUUCGACUUUUAAAUGUUUACAUGAUUUGAGUUCAGACCGGCGUGAGCCAGGUCGGUUUCUAUCUUCUAAAUAUAAAAAACUGCUUUAGUACGAAAGGAUUGAGUAGUUAAAAUAUUUUUAUGAAUUACA
rnacentral:rRNA from 1 species